UACACACCGCCCGUCCAAGCCACCUGAGUUGAGAGCACCCGAAAUCGGUGAUCUAACCCGAAAGGGGAGAAGCCGCCUAAGGUGAGAUCGAAUAAGGAGGGCU
rnacentral:rRNA from 1 species